rnacentral:rRNA from 1 species
CCGUGCCCAAGAGAUCGGGAUAACACCUGGAAACAGAUGCUAAUACCGGAUAACAACAGAUGAUGCCUAUCAACUGUUUAAAAGAUGGUUCUGCUAUCACUCUUGGAUGGACCUGCGGUGCAUUAGCUAGUUGGUAGGGUAACGGCCUACCAAGGCGAUGAUGCAUAGCCGAGUUGAGAGACUGAUCGGCCACAUUGGGACUGAGACACGGCCCAAACUCCUACGGGAGGCAGCAGAU